rnacentral:lncRNA from 1 species
ACAAUACGAGGCAAGGCAGAGGGCAGGGACGUCCUUCGAAGGUGCGCUGGAGGGUCGCCUGCUGCAGCCGCACCCGCCGCGCGUGCCCCACGUUUCUUUGAACGGAAUGAAACGCAGAGAAACAUAAGAUCCCGGGAGAACGCGAGGGAGACGAGUGACCCCAACCCAGUCGCGGGGUGCCGGGCAGUUAGGCCAGGGUGCCAGAUAAGGUCUGAGGCAGUUGGCG